rnacentral:rRNA from 1 species
AGAGUUUGAUCAUGGCUCAGGACGAACGCUGGCGGCGCGCCUAACACAUGCAAGUCGAACGGAGUUAAGAGGAGCUUGCUUUUCUUGACUUAGUGGCGAACGGGUGAGUAACGCGUGAGUAACCUGCCUCAGAGUGGGGGACAACAGUUGGAAACGACUGCUAAUACCGCAUAAGACCACGGGGUCGCAUGGCCCUGAGGUAAAAGGAUUUAUUCGCUUUGAGAUGGACUCGCGUCCAACUAGCUAGUUGGUGAGGUAACGGCCCACCAAGGCGACGAUUGGUAGCCGGACUGAGAGGUUGAACGGCCACAUUGGGACUGAGACACGGCCCAGACUCCUACGGGAGGCAGCAGUGGGGGAUAUUGCACAAUGGGGGAAACCCUGAUGCAGCGACGCCGCGUGGAGGAAGAAGGUUUUCGGAUUGUAAACUCCUGUCGUAAGGGACGAUAAUGACGGUACCUUACAAGAAAGCCACGGCUAACUACGUGCCAGCAGCCGCGGUAAAACGUAGGUGGCAAGCGUUGUCCGGAAUUACUGGGUGUAAAGGGAGCGCAGGCGGACCGGCAAGUUGGAAGUGAAAACUAUGGGCUCAACCCAUAAACUGCUUUCAAAACUGCUGGCCUUGAGUAGUGCAGAGGUAGGCGGAAUUCCCGGUGUAGCGGUGGAAUGCGUAGAUAUCGGGAGGAACACCAGUGGCGAAGGCGGCCUACUGGGCACCAACUGACGCUGAGGCUCGAAAGUGUGGGUAGCAAACAGGAUUAGAUACCCUGGUAGUCCACACCGUAAACGAUGAUUACUAGGUGUUGGAGGAUUGACCCCUUCAGUGCCGCAGUUAACACAAUAAGUAAUCCACCUGGGGA